rnacentral:rRNA from 1 species
AGAGUUUGAUCCUGGCUCAGAUUGAACGCUGGCGGCAUGCUUUACACAUGCAGGUCGAACGGCAGCAUAGGUGCUUGCACCUGAUGGCGAGUGGCGGACGGGUGAGUAAUGCAUCGGGACGUGUCCGGAAGAGGGGGAUAACUGUUCGAAAGAACAGCUAAUACCGCAUAAUAUCCGAGGAAGAAAGCUGGGGACCUUAGGGCCUGGCGCUUACGGGGCGACCGAUGUCUGAUUAGCUAGUUGGUGGGGUAAAAGCCUACCAAGGCGACGAUCAGUAGCUGGUCUGAGAGGACGACCAGCCACACUGGGACUGAGAAACGGCCCAGACUCCUACGGGAGGCAGCAGUGGGGAAUUUUGGACAAUGGGGGCAACCCUGAUCCAGCAAUGCCGCGUGUCUGAAGAAGGCCUUCGGGUUGUAAAGGACUUUUGUUGGGGAGCAAGGUGCACAGGUUAAGAGCUAGUGUACUUGAGAGUACCCAAAGAAUAAGGACCGGCUAACUACCUGCCAGCAGCCGCGGUAAUACGUAGGGUCCAAGCGUUAAUCGGAAUUACUGGGCGUAAAGAGUGCGCAGGCGGCUUUGUAAGCUUGAUGUGAAAUCCCCGGGCUCAACCUGGGAACUGCAUUGAGGACUGCAAGGCUAGAGUGUAGCAGAGGGGGGUAGAAUUCCACGUGUAGCAGUGAAAUGCGUAGAGAUGUGGAGGAAUACCGAUGGCGAAGGCAGCCCCCUGGGUUAACACUGACGCUCAUGCACGAAAGCGUGGGGAGCAAACAGGAUUAGAUACCCUGGUAGUCC